rnacentral:ncRNA from 1 species
ACGAAUAUGGCAAACCUAUCGUGAGGUAGGGACGCAAAACUAUAGGGUCUUCAUAUAUGAAGAUAGCCAGAUGCCGA